GAUGAAGAACGCAGCAAAAUGCGAUAAGUAAUGUGAAUUGCAGAAUUCAGUGAAUCAUCGAAUCUUUGAACGCACAUUGCGCCCGCCAGUAUUCUGGCGGGCAUGCCUGUUCGAGCGUCAUUUCAACCCUCAAGCACAGUUUGGUGUUGGGACUCGCGUUAAUUCGCGUUCCCCAAAUUGAUUGGCGGUCACGUCGAGCUUCCAUAGCGUAGUAGUAAAACCCUCGUUACUGGUAAUCGUCGCGGCCACGCCGUUAAACCCCAACUUCUGAAUGUUGACCUCGGAUCAGGUAGGAAUACCCGCUGAACUUAAGCAUAUCAAUAAGCGAGGA
rnacentral:misc_RNA from 1 species